rnacentral:lncRNA from 1 species
ACUCAUUUUACGGCGAUCUAGCCCACUUAAAAUAUAUGCUUAUUCUAUGUUAUAAUGGUUUAGGAAUUUACGAAUUUAUAUAUAUAUAUAUAUAGUAGCUGUUGCGCGUAUAAAGUCUAAGAAUCAUAGAUAGGUAAUAGAAUAAAGGUGGGCGAGAGGUAUUAACCCAUUACGGUUAUGAUUAUAAAGGUUCAAACAUACAAUUGGUAACUCGUAGGUUACGUUUAUGCUCUGUGCAUAUACUGUUUUAAGAUUACAAACUCAUAGUUUUCUUUUGGUUUUGGUAUUCUAAUACCCUUACUCCUUUCGUAAUCGAAAGGAUAUAACUGCCAGAGAAUUGGCCUUAAAAUGGCAUAUCGAACUUAAUCCCAGAAAAUGUGCAAAUUAACACAGCAUAACUCCGGAAAUCUGUCCUGCUGUUGGCGGUGGCUCCUCUGUAGUCAGGUCCGUCAAAAUCAAGCCCAAUGUUCUAGCUCUGGACACUGGGCUAAAAUGGGGAACAUCCGGCUUGAUGUCGAUCUGCCGCUUACAUAAGCACUAAAGUGCUCGACAAACUGGUCUACUCAGUGGAGCUGGUGAAAGGUUCCGAGGCGCCGCCUUACGCGCUGAGCUUCCUAAGGGUUGCUACGCCUCACUAAAGUUGACCCAAGUCAGAGUUUUUCGAUGCUCGGCGUUUCGGAGCAGAAGAGGGGGGAAUCGAAUUCUACCCCUUGUAGAUUGGGGGAUGACUUCGGUGAUACGCCUCUCGUGGAGCACCCCGUAUAUGCACUUAUGCGCACUUAGGCUGCUAAGAAAGAUAGGGCUCCUGACCUCUGUCCUUGGUUGAUUAUUGUUUUAACUAGGCACUAGCACAGAUCAACACAGAUUCCUUUGAAUUUAUGGCUUGCAAGAAAACUUCGCCAUCUACAUAUAUAAGACUUGCCACAAUCACGUCGGGUUUUGUCGAUCGACUCUUUGCUAAUAACUCUAGCAAAACUCAUCCCAGUGAAGCUAGGCUGUACCGAACAUAAAGCUCGAAGAUCUGAUGACGUUUAAGAGCUUUAACGGGACAAUCGUAUGAUCUUUCGCUGCAUUGAGUGGAAUUUCGGUCAAACUUCAAGGGCAAAUUCUAUGCUCUCGAUACCUUAUUCUCUUCUUUAAGAUAAGCGCACGCUCUCGCUUGCAUGUGCUAACACUGCAGCGAGUCUCUUUAGUAAGCUCGGCGUAAAGCUUGCGCUUACGAUCCACUUUCGGAGUUCUCUUUCGGAAUGCACUUUUAAGCUCUACUGAACAUGCAAUUAUGUUUAUCAGUGAUGCUCUAUGCUAUCUCCCUACUUUCGGCCCCUACAGUAGCGAUACGACUCGAACAGGUGCAACCUUCGAUUUAGCUGCCAACAAAUUUGCUGAAAUGCCUCCAUGCUUAUGAAUGACGCGAACAUAUACCACCGCUCCGUAAGCUCUACAAGAGGCAUCUAAAAACCUGGCUUAGAAAUCCUAUUGGAUCAAACAAGUGUGCUAACUCUGAUAACACGAUACACUCCGUAAUGCUGUCCGAAUUACUUGCGACGUACUAAAACUGAAACUUAUCAACCCUCGAGGCCAAUAUAUUCCUAUGUUACCUGUAGCUCUAACGGUUCUACGGCGUCUGCACGAUCUCCAUCACAAUAGCUGUUAGAACGCCAGCUAUGAAGCUCGUAUCGUCCCAACUUUAACAACUCGGUAACUUCAUUUUUUAAUUCAUUUAUCUGCUCGUAAGAGCUCGCUCUAACUAGCAUAUCAUCCAUGCAGAAGUUUUGCC